rnacentral:rRNA from 1 species
AAACCAACAGGGAUUGCCCCAGUAACGGCGAGUGAAGCGGCAACAGCUCAAAUUUGAAAGCUGGCCUUCGGGUCCGCAUUGUAAUUUGUAGAGGAUGCUUUGGGUGAAACGCCAGUCUAAGUUCCUUGGAACAGGACGUCAUAGAGGGUGAGAAUCCCGUAUGUGACUGGAAAUGUUAACCUAUGUAAAGCUCCUUCGACGAGUCGAGUUGUUUGGGAAUGCAGCUCUAAAUGGGAGGUAAAUUUCUUCUAAAGCUAAAUAUUGGCGAGAGACCGAUAGCGCACAAGUAGAGUGAUCGAAAGAUGAAAAGCACUUUGGAAAGAGAGUUAAAAAGCACGUGAAAUUGUUGAAAGGGAAGCGCUUGCAAUCAGACUUGUUCAAACUGUUCGGCCGGUCUUCUGACCGGUUUACUCAGUUUGGACAGGCCAGCAUCAGUUUCGGCGGCCGGAUAAAGGCUCUGGGAAUGUGGCCUUCACUUCGGUGAAGGUGUUAUAGCCCAGGGUGUAAUACGGCCAGCCGGGACUGAGGUCCGCGCUUCGGCUAGGAUGCUGGCGUAAUGGUUGUAAGCGACCCG